rnacentral:ncRNA from 1 species
CCAGGCUAGGGGUACAAGUCCUGCAGAAUUGCGUUCCACUGGACCUAAGCAACGACCUGAAAGGGUAGCGACGACGCCUGGCGUUGAAGGGGAGAGUAUCAGACGUGAUGUCCCCGACAACG